rnacentral:rRNA from 1 species
AUACGGAGGGGGCUAGCGUUGUUCGGAAUUACUGGGCGUAAAGCGCGCGUAGGCGGACCUGCAAGUCGGGGGUGAAAGCCCGAGGCUCAACCUCGGAACUGCCUUCGAUACUGCGGGUCUUGAGUCCGGGAGAGGUGAGUGGAAUUCCUAGUGUAGAGGUGAAAUUCGUAGAUAUUAGGAAGAACACCAGUGGCGAAGGCGGCUCACUGGCCCGGUACUGACGCUGAGGCGCGAAAGCGUGGGGAGCAAACAGGAUUAGAUACCCCAGUAGUCC